rnacentral:lncRNA from 1 species
ACCUCCCCCGUAGCCCCCUUCGUAUCUCAUGUCCCUUACCCCCCAGAAACCCUAGAACUUGCCGCCCCUGAAACUUCGCCAUCUCCGCCGGCGGAGACUCCACACACCACUCCGUUCCACCCAAACUUUACACCACAGUUUCUCCGUUUCCUCCUCAUCUCAAAUCCCCACAUAAUUUCCCUCAAAUCUCACUCAAAUCUCUUGAAUCUUGAUCAGAAACUCCAAACCCUAGCAUCGCCACAGUUCCUCCAGUGGCGACAAUCCCAAUCAACCCCAAAACACACCCUUGAACCCUCACCACCUCUUCUCCACUAAUCUGUGUUCAAUUGCUCUGAAAAAUCCCCCAUAAGUUUUUGAAUUUUAGGUUCAAGGUCCUGAACCCUGUUGCAUAAAGAUUGUUUGAGGAGUUAUUGCUCGUCCCUCGAUAAUUUUAUCUAAUUGCACGUAUUAAGAGCAAGUGGGUGAUAUUUUUGAAGGCGAACAUCAAAGGUUUGAUGUGUGUUGUUGAUUCGGUCCAAAUAGGUAAGCAUUUUGCACUUCUUUUAAGUUUUCUGUCAAGUUUGACUCAUUUUCUUCCUCGCCUCACUCUUUUGAUUUGAAGUUCAUGCUCAAAUUUUAGACAUGAGUUAGUUUUUGUGCCUGUUUUCUCCUGUUAAAUCUUGACCUUUCCAUUCUAUUUUUAAUGGUUAAUAAAAUAAGUGUUUUGGUUGGUUUUAUUUAGAUUAAAUCACUAUUUAGCUUAGUAUUGAUAGGUUUUAUGAUAUAGUAUUCUUAUUUAAAUGUUGGUGUGAUUGCUUGAAUCUUCGAUUCAUGUUUUAAUUUGUUUCCAGUGGCUUUUCGACAUUUUCUUUAAGAAUUGAUUCGUAGUUUGAUUUGUUAGAUGCCCUCUGUGUUUAGGCGAUCCUAUUUGUCACAUUCUCAAACCUAGGGGAGAUAAGUGAAUAAUUAGGAACUUUAAGGAUUCUCAAAGGGAAAGGCAUGGAUAGUAAUAUUUUGUUCAGCAAAGGGCAAUUUGGGGACUUCAUAUUCAGAGGAGAUCGAUUAUGUUAGUUAGAAGUUUCUAGGGGAUAGGAUAAACGUGAGUUUGUUAGGAGGGGUGAUUUUUAAUUCUUUGGAGGGGUAAGAGGGUAAAAAUAAUUUGCUUUGAGAGGGAUGAAAUGGGAAAUUACUAUUUAGGAUAAGGUUGCCUUAAAUAUCCCUAUAUAAUGACCCUUUUUCUCUUCAUUCAGGCAGAUUUUUGAACACUCUGAAAUCUGAGAGAGAAUUCCAGAAAAUACAAAAACAACUCCAGAAAAUUCUAUUGUUACAUUGACAAUUUCAGUUUUCCUUUCGGAAAAAACAAAGGUCCUUAUUGUGAUACUCAGAAUGAAUUGAUAUUUUAUUGUUGGUGCUUCUAAUUCAAGCUGUUUGGGAUUAAAUUUUCACUGAUUUUUGUUGGAUUAAGUUCCUAGGGUUUAAUCACUGGAACUUGUGGUGUUGGUUUGUUGAUUACUAUUCUAUUCUAGUCCCUCGCUUCUCUUCCUUUUUGUGCAAUUUUCAGGUAUUUUUCAGCUCUAUGGAUGUCACUUGAAGUGUAAUUUGAAGCAGAAAUUGGAAACAUGAAAUAGAAAUGUGAUUGUUUGUUUGACUUCUAUUUUGUUAUUCUUUCAAUUUUAUGACUAGAUUAUUAUAGCCUAGCAUAAGUUGUUCCUGUUACUGUAGUACAGUACUUGAAAUCAGUGUUAGGAUCGUUUCUUGUGUGUCGUAUCUUCAAGUGCAUUUUUGAAUUUGAGUCUGUAUUGGUUAGUAAGUCAGAUAUAUAUAUUUUCUUUUGAUAUGUGUGAGUAGCCUUUUAGCUUGGCAGGGGCUUUAUCAUUUUAAAUUGUUAGUUUGAUAACUGGACGUUUGAAUAGAUUAAAUUUGAGCAUGUGAUAAAAGCUGAAGUCAUGUAUUUAUUUUCUUCUGUGAUACAGUUUAUGUUCGGCAAUGGUUGAUGGUAAAAGGUGGAUCCAAUUUGCAGAUUGUUAAUGGUUUAUAUUGAUUUAUGAUCACGCAUGUGUAGUUAUGAUUUGGUAAUAAAUUCUGAAUAAAAAAAGUAGAUUGGUAACCUAGUAUGCUUGAUCAAGAAUUCACCGCCUAAUUUUUUUUAAUUGGCUUUAAAAUAUUUUUUCAAAGUUUAAGAAUUUGAAUGUUUGAGUGCCUGAAUCACCUUGUGUUCCUAUUAAAUUAAUCAACUAUCAACUAUGGCAUUGAUGCAUAUAUAGCGAAUACAUAAGUCUGAAUUGUUCCCCUGAGGGGUCGAUCUUGGAGCGAUGGUUGGAUAUCUGUUACAGCUCAUUUGUAUCUUUGAUUUGGGCUCAUUAUGAGGCCCAAUUCCAGAUUCGGCUUGGCUUUUCGUUGAGCCCUCAUUCCGUUUGUAUUAGCUCACAACCCUUUGUGUAAAUGAAUUGUCUUGGGCCAUUUCAUCAUAUAAGCCACGUUAGUUAGUUUUAAUGGAGUCUUUAAUCAUGUUUAGUACUACUUAGAUUAUUAACUAGAUUUGAGGCGAGCAAUAGUAGAUAUAAAUAAUUUAUGGCCAUCAUGAGUUGGUGUAGAAACCUUUAAAUUAAAACAAAUGGAGGUGUUCCAAGCCAAAUAAAAUAUCAAAUGCUUGGCCCUCGUUUUAUUAUUUCUGUUUAAUUUUAGAAUUCGAGGCGUGUUGUUUAGAUAAAUUACAUGGCCCUUGCAAAUUGCAAUCACAAAAUUUUUUUAGGCGUGUUAGUUUAAUAAUAUUACUUUCCUAAAUUCGGGUAAGCAUUUAUGUGACCCAAAUUUAUAUUUGAACGAUGUUAAAAUAUGUCAAAACGUACGGGUAUAUUUAUGUGACGUGGUUGGAGACGUGUUUUAAUAGCAUUAUAAUUUUCUCUAAAAAAUGAAUAAAAGUGGUUAAAAGUUAAAAUUUGCACAUAGGUUCAUAAUUGUUCAAAAUCAGAUAAUUAAGCCGAACAUAAUAGUUGAGCGAUCGUGCUAGAACCAGGAACUCAUGCAUGCCUAACAUCUUCUCACGGGUUAACAGAAUUUCUUACUCAGAUUUCUGGUUAGCAGAUUGAUGAAUAGCUUCAAUACUUCCUUGAUUUGGGAUUUUAAACCAGUGCCUUCGGACACCAUAAAUUAUCCC